AUUGAACGCUGGCGGCAUGCCUUACACAUGCAAGUCGAACGGCAGCACGGGAGCAAUCCUGGUGGCGAGUGGCGAACGGGUGAGUAAUAUAUCGGAACGUGCCCAGUCGUGGGGGAUAACGCAGCGAAAGCUGUGCUAAUACCGCAUACGAUCUAAGGAUGAAAGCGGGGGAUCACAAGACCUCGCGCGAUUGGAGCGGCCGAUAUCAGAUUAGCUAGUUGGUGGGGUAAAGGCCCACCAAGGCGACGAUCUGUAGCUGGUCUGAGAGGACGAGCAGCCACACUGGAACUGAGACACGGUCCAGACUCCUACGGGAGGCAGCAGUGGGGAAUUUUGGACAAUGGGCGCAAGCCUGAUCCAGCAAUGCCGCGUGCAGGAUGAAGGCCUUCGGGUUGUAAACUGCUUUUGUACGGAACGAAACGGCCCUUUCUAAUACAGGGGGCUAAUGACGGUACCGUAAGAAUAAGCACCGGCUAACUACGUGCCAGCCGCCGCCGUAA
rnacentral:rRNA from 1 species